GAUGAACGCUGGCGGCAGGCCUAAUACAUGCAAGUCGAACGGUAACAUGAGUAGCAAUACUUGAUGACGAGUGGCGCACGGGUGCGUAACGCGUAUGCAAUCUACCUUUAACCGGUGAAUAGCCCGAAGAAAUUCGGAUUAAUACACCAUAGUAUAAUGAGCUGGCAUCAGUUUAUUAUUAAAGCUCCGGCAGUUAAAGAUGAGCAUGCGUGACAUUAGCUAGUUGGUGAGGUAACGGCUCAUCAAGGCGACGAUGUCUAGGGGAUCUGAGAGGAUUAACCCCCACACUGGUACUGAGACACGGACCAGACUCCUACGGGAGGCAGCAGUAAGGAAUAUUGGACAAUGGUGGCAACACUGAUCCAGCCAUGCCGCGUGCAGGAUGACUGCCCUAUGGGUUGUAAACUGCUUUUGUACGGGAAAAAACCUCUUUACGUGUAAAGAGCUGAUUGUACUGUAAGAAUAAGGAUCGGCUAACUCCGUGCCAGCCGCCGCCGUAA
rnacentral:rRNA from 1 species